UGAACGCUGGCGGCGUGCUUAACACAUGCAAGUCGAACGAUGAAGAGCAGCUUGCUGCUUGGAUUAGUGGCGCACGGGUGAGUAAUAUAUAGGUAAUGUGCCUCUUAGUCUGGGAUAGCCAUUGGAAACGAUGAUUAAUACCGGAUACUCCUUCUCAUAAUAAUAUGAGUCGGGAAAGUUUUUCGCUAAGAGAUCGGCCUAUAUCCCAUCAGUUAGUUGGUAAGGUAACGGCUUACCAAGGCAAUGACGGGUAGCGGGUUUGAGAGGAUGAUCCGCCACACUGGUACUGAGACACGGACCAGACUCCUACGGGAGGCAGCAGUGAGGAAUAUUGCACAAUGGGGGAAACCCUGAUGCAGCAACGCCGCGUGGAGGAUGACGCAUUUCGGUGUGUAAACUCCUUUUAUGAGUCAAGAAAAUGACGGUAGCUCAUGAAUAAGCACCGGCUAACUCC
rnacentral:rRNA from 1 species